UACGUAGGUGGCAAGCGUUGUCCGGAAUUAUUGGGCGUAAAGCGCGCGCAGGCGGUCCUUUAAGUCUGAUGUGAAAUCUUACGGCUCAACCGUAAGCGGUCAUUGGAAACUGGGGGACUUGAGUGCAGAAGAGGAAAGUGGAAUUCCACGUGUAGCGGUGAAAUGCGUAGAGAUGUGGAGGAACACCAGUGGCGAAGGCGACUUUCUGGUCUGUAACUGACGCUGAGGCGCGAAAGCGUGGGGAGCAAACAGG
rnacentral:rRNA from 1 species